rnacentral:rRNA from 1 species
GACGAACGCUGGCGGCGUGCCUAAUACAUGCAAGUUGAGCGAUGAAGAUUGGUGCUUGCACCAAUUUGAAGAGCAGCGAACGGGUGAGUAACGCGUGGGGAAUCUGCCUUUGAGCGGGGGACAACAUUUGGAAACGAAUGCUAAUACCGCAUAACAACUUUAAACAUAAGUUUUAAGUUUGAAAGAUGCAAUUGCAUCACUCAAAGAUGAUCCCGCGUUGUAUUAGCUAGUUGGUGAGGUAAAGGCUCACCAAGGCGAUGAUACAUAGCCGACCUGAGAGGGUGAUCGGCCACAUUGGGACUGAGACACGGCCCAAACUCCUACGGGAGGCAGCAGUAGGGAAUCUUCGGCAACGGACGAAAGUCUGACCGAGCAACGCCGCGUGAGUGAAGAAGGUUUUCGGAUCGUAAAACUCUGUUGGUAGAGAAGAACGUUGGUGAGAGUGGAAAGCUCAUCAAGUGACGGUAACUACCCAGGAAGGGACGGCUAACUACGUG